AGAGUUUGAUCAUGGCUCAGGACGAACGCUGGCGGCGUGCUUAACACAUGCAAGUCGAACGGUGACCUUGAGAGCUUGCUCUUGGGGGAGCAGUGGCGAACGGGUGAGUAACACGUGAGUAACCUGCCCCUGACUCUGGAAUAAGCGCUGGAAACGGCGUCUAAUACCGGAUACGAGAUGCCACCGCAUGGUGAGUGUCUGGAAAGUUUUUCGGUCUGGGAUGGACUCGCGGCCUAUCAGCUUGUUGGUGAGGUAAUGGCUCACCAAGGCGAUGACGGGUAGCCGGCCUGAGAGGGCGACCGGCCACACUGGGACUGAGACACGGCCCAGACUCCUACGGGAGGCAGCAGUGGGGAAUAUUGCACAAUGGGCGAAAGCCUGAUGCAGCGACGCCGCGUGAGGGAUGACGGCCUUCGGGUUGUAAACCUCUUUCAGCAGGGAAGAAGCGCAAGUGACGGUACCUGCAGAAGAAGCACCGGCUAACUACGUGCCAGCAGCCGCGGUAAUACGUAGGGUGCGAGCGUUGUCCGGAAUUAUUGGGCGUAAAGAGCUUGUAGGCGGUUUGUCGCGUCUGCUGUGAAAAUCCGGGGCUCAACCCCGGACUUGCAGUGGGUACGGGCAGACUAGAGUGUGGUAGGGGAGACUGGAAUUCCUGGUGUAGCGGUGAAAUGCGCAGAUAUCAGGAGGAACACCGAUGGCGAAGGCAGGUCUCUGGGCCACUACUGACGCUGAGAAGCGAAAGCAUGGGGAGCGAACAGGAUUAGAUACCCUGGUAGUCC
rnacentral:rRNA from 1 species